GAUGAAGAACGCAGCGAAAUGCGAUAAGUAAUGUGAAUUGCAGAAUCCAGUGAAUCAUCGAAUCUUUGAACGCACAUUGCGCCCGCCAGCAUUCUGGCGGGCAUGCCUGCUCGAGCGUCAUUUCAACCCUCGACCUCCCUUUGGGGAAGUCGGCGUUGGGGACCGGCAGCACACCGCCGGCCCUGAAAUGGAGUGGCGGCCCGUCCGCGGCGACCUCUGCGUAGUAAACCAACUCGCACCGGAACCCCGACGUGGCCACGCCGUAAAACACCCAACUUCUGAACGUUGACCUCGAAUCAGGUAGGACUACCCGCUGAACUUAAGCAUAUCAAUAAGCGGAGGA
rnacentral:misc_RNA from 1 species